rnacentral:rRNA from 2 species
UGCCCUAGUAACGGCGAGUGAAGCGGCAACAGCUCAAAUUUGAAAUCUGGCUCUCGGGCCCGAGUUGUAAUUUGUAGAGGAUACUUUUGAUGCGGUGCCUUCCGAGUUCCCUGGAACGGGACGCCAUAGAGGGUGAGAGCCCCGUCUGGUUGGAUGCCAAAUCUCUGUAAAGUUCCUUCGACGAGUCGAGUAGUUUGGGAAUGCUGCUCUAAAUGGGAGGUAUAUGUCUUCUAAAGCUAAAUACCGGCCAGAGACCGAUAGCGCACAAGUAGAGUGAUCGAAAGAUGAAAAGCACUUUGAAAAGAGAGUUAAAAAGUACGUGAAAUUGUUGAAAGGGAAGCGUUUAUGACCAGACUUGGGCUUGGUUGAUCAUCUGGGGUUCUCCCCAGUGCACUCUUCCAGUCCAGGCCAGCAUCAGUUUUCGCCGGGGGAUAAAGACUUCGGGAAUGUGGCUCUCUUCGGGGAGUGUUAUAGCCCGUUGUGUAAUACCCUGGCGGGGACUGAGGUUCGCGCAUCUGCAAGGAUGCUGGCGUAAUGGUCAUCAACGACCCGUCUUGAAACACGGACCAAGGAGUCGUCUUCGUAUGCGAGUGUUCGGGUGUCAAACCCCUACGCGUAAUGAAAGUGAACGCAGGUGAGAGCUUCGGCGCAUCAUCGACCGAUCCUGAUGUUCUCGGAUGGAUUUGAGUAAGAGCAUACGGGGCCGGACCCGAAAGAAGGUGAACUAUGCCUGUAUAGGGUGAAGCCAGAGGAAACUCUGGUGGAGGCUCGCAGCGGUUCUGACGUGCAAAUCGAUCGUCAAAUAUGGGCAUGGGGGCGAAAGACUAAUCGAACCUUCUAGUAGCUGGUUUCCGCCGAAGUUUCCCUCAGGAUAGCAGUGUUGAACUCAGUUUUAUGAGGUAAAGCGAAUGAUUAGGGACUCGGGGGCGCUAUUUAGCCUUCAUCCAUUCUCAAACUUUAAAUAUGUAAGAAGCUCUUGUUGCUUAAUUGAACGUGAGCAUUCGAAUGUAUCAACACUAGUGGGCCAUUUUUGGUAAGCAGAACUGGCGAUGCGGGAUGAACCGAACGCGAGGUUAAGGUGCCAGAGUAGACGCUCAUCAGACACCACAAAAGGUGUUAGUACAUCUUGACAGCAGGACGGUGGCCAUGGAAGUCGGAAUCCGCUAAGGACUGUGUAACAACUCACCUGCCGAAUGUACUAGCCCUGAAAAUGGAUGGCGCUCAAGCGUCUCACCCAUACCUCGCCCUCAGGGUAGAAACGAUGCCCUGAGGAGUAGGCGGACGUGGAGGUCAGUGACGAAGCCUAG